GGAGGUAUAGCUCAGUGGUAGAGUGCAUGCCUAGCAUGCAUGAGGUCCUGGGUUCAAUCCCUGGUACCUCCA
rnacentral:tRNA from 1 species